rnacentral:rRNA from 1 species
AUGGGUUUCAUGAAUCACCAUAUCCAGAGAUUCGUCGACACAGCUUGUUGCCGGAAUUAUCGAUGCAAUUCGAAGAAGGAUUGGUCGGUGCUGCCGGCUGGCGUCAAGUUCGAUCCCACAGAUCAAGAGCUGAUCGAGCACCUUGAGGCCAAAGUGAGUGCUGACAGCGCGAGAUUUCAGUCUCUCAUCGAUUUGUUCAUACCAACCAUCGACAGCGAGCAUAGCAUAUGCUACACCCAACCUGAGAAACUUCCAGGUAUCACACUGAGUGGCCUAAGGAAGCAAUUCUUCCAGCGCAAUUCCAGGGCGUUCAAAAGGGGCACAUGGACGCGUUGCAAGAUACAGUCGGAGUGCGGCAUGCACGCAAUGUGGCACAAGACCGACAAUACCUUGCCGGUGAUGGUCAACGGCCGGCAGACGGGCACCAAAAAAGGUUCUGCUGUUGCACACCAACAAGAACUUCGACCAGCAGAGGACCAACUGGGUGAUGCACCAGUACCACCUCGGGGACCUGGAGCAAGAGAAGGAGCGGGAACUGGUCCUCUGCAAGAUUUUCUACCAGACGAACACUAG